UCCAUCGCUCUGUGUCUGUGUUGUAUAUAUAAUCAUAAUUUCCAAAGAUAAUGAAAAGGGUGAAGUGUAAUCAAGUGUGUAGUGUGAAGAAAAUCUUUCUCAUCGAUCCUCUCUUCCAUUGCAAUCGACCAUGGAGUGUAAAUGUAAACAGACCUUCAGCGAGGCAGCAGCACCCACAAACCUCAAGAAGGCGCUCAAGCGCAUGGGUCCACCCUGCCGAGGAAGCAUCAAGCGUAAGGUAUUCUCAAGCUUCUACAAGGGCCUCCUAAUCUUGGCCAGGAGUAUCGCUCGUCUUCCAUUUUGCAAGAGGCCAUAACGUGUCUACAACGUUUUAUUCAUCAUUUGUAUAUGGAUGUGGACCACUAUAGGGUAUAUCGUUUAUAUUAUCUAUUAGAAUAUAUCAGAAUAUAUAUAUGUGAUAUAUAUACACAUAUUUUCCAUGUGUGGAUGUAUUGGAAGAAAUCCAACUGUAGGACAGCUCUUCGUAAGUGUUUUCCAUUAUUUCUGGGAGUUAGCUUUUGAAAUACUUGGGGAGCAUUGACUGCUGCACAAAUAUAGGUUGGAGAAAAGUUGUACAAAUGUAGAAAAUUCUGCGCAUAAAGCGGACAUGUAUCCAUUUAUGUUUUCCGCCGAAUGGGGUUAACGGUCGGAUGUCUUUAUUUAGGGUUUCUGGUGGGAUUUUUACAAUUUUGUAAUUGUACUACUAGUGAAUAUGUUUCUUACGUAUCUAUUAUUGAUCUCCCGAUGAA